GACAAAGAGGCCCUUUCCAAAUUCAUUCUGAAGUUCUAGAUGGAGAAUUGCGCAUUUCUCACAUUUCUAGUCUUUCAAGCACUGAUUCUGUUCUGAGGACCAAUCAUAUGGAUAUGAAAAUUCAUGAACAGGCUGUAUCCACACACAUUACCAAUUGGAAGACGGCCUUGUCUCCAGCUUGAAUAUACACUCCACCCCCACCUUUGAGAGAGAGCGAGAGAGUGCGAGCAGAGAAGAAGCCAAGAGAGGAAGACAUAGAAUCUGAAGCAGGCUCCAGGCUCUGAGCUGUCAGCACAGAGCCCGAUGCUGCGCUGGUACUCCUGAACCGGCAGAUCAUGACCUGAGCCGAGGUCAGCCGCUUAACCCACUGAGCCCCCCAGGCACCCCAAUAUUACUUUUUUUCUUAAGGCAUAUGGGACUCAUAACAUUGUUAUAAUAAACAUAUUCAUUAUUGUCACAACAAUAAAUUAAUUAAAACAGAGGUAAAAACACUAUUUUCUCAUGUAUUUGCAUAAUUACUGGGAAAUUAAAUUAUAUUAUCCAUAAAAGUGACUUGUAGCAAAGGAAAGAAAGAGGAAAAUUGAUUUUAAAUAGUAGCUAGCAGUACAAAUCACGUUAGGAAACAACUCUUACCUUUAUUGUGAAGUAAAAAUAAAACUGUAGGGGCACCUGACUGGCUCAGUCGACGGAGCGUCUGACUCUUGAUUUCCAGUCAGGUCAUGUUCCCAGGGUUAUGGAAAGGAGCCUGGAACAUGGAACCUGCUUAAGAUCCUCUCUCUUUCCCUCUGCGCCUCUACCCUGCUCAUGUGCACUCGUUCUCCAAAAUAAAAAAAAAUAAUAAUAAUAAAACUAUAAUUCUUAGUUUUGUAAGAAUUUAUCUUGAACAUUUGCCAAAAGAUUUUUUUCGGUCAGUAAUUUAUUUAUCCAACAAAUAUAUGUCAACCAGUAAGCUAAAUCAGGAUGUUUUUAUUUAACAUUAUCAAUUUAUCUCAAAUAGUUAUUUUAUAGAAUUUUAAAAUCCUAUUGCAACAUUUAUGUUUCGUUUUUUAAAAAUG